ACGGGUGAGUAACGCGUGGGAAUCUACCCAUCUCUACGGAAUAACGCAUGGAAACGUGUGCUAAUACCGUAUACGUCCUUCGGGAGAAAGAUUUAUCGGAGAUGGAUGAGCCCGCGUUGGAUUAGCUAGUUGGUGGGGUAAAGGCCUACCAAGGCGACGAUCCAUAGCUGGUCUGAGAGGAUGAUCAGCCACACUGGGACUGAGACACGGCCCAGACUCCUACGGGAGGCAGCAGUGGGGAAUAUUGGACAAUGGGCGCAAGCCUGAUCCAGCCAUGCCGCGUGAGUGAUGAAGGCCCUAGGGUUGUAAAGCUCUUUCACCGGUGAAGAUAAUGACGGUAACCGGAGAAGAAGCCCCGGCUAACUUCGUGCCAGCAGCCGCGGUAAUACGAAGGGGGCUAGCGUUGUUCGGAUUUACUGGGCGUAAAGCGCACGUAGGCGGACUAUUAAGUCAGGGGUGAAAUCCCGGGGCUCAACCCCGGAACUGCCUUCGAUACUGGUAGUCUUGAGUUCGAGAGAGGUGAGUGGAAUUCCGAGUGUAGAGGUGAAAUUCGUAGA
rnacentral:rRNA from 1 species